rnacentral:tRNA from 1 species
AUUUAUAUAAUAUAAAUUAAGUAUAUGUAACUUCCAAUUACAAAGUUUAAAUAAAUUUAAUAUAAAUA